UUUCACCUGCAGCAGGGGAAAGAGAUGAGGAAGAUGGGUUAAUGUGCUUCUGAGAAGAAGAUCCUCCAGGAGGAACGUUUACAGAAGAAGAAUGUUGCACAGCACAGCGACAAUAAAAUGAUGAGCUGUGACACCCCUUUGCCUCAUGAGACUCUACAACUCUGACUCCUGAGGUAGUUUUCAUUUUCUGAGGGAUGCUUCUCUUCCUUUUCUUUCCUUUGCUGAUAAAUACACACGCAUACCAGCUGGUUACCUGCUCUUCCCAUGCUGUUGUCAAGGACGGCAACCUGCCCUGGACAUCUCUUCCUAAAUAAGUUAUUGCCAAGGAUCUGCACAUGAGGACAAUACCUGAUAACUGACGGGUUAAGCAGUCCCAGGGAGUAGGCGCAUCUCAUGUAGGGCUAGGGGACCAGGGGUGAGGGUGCACUGGAGGUCAGUGUGGUGGCGUAUCGGCCCUCCAUCACAAUUUGGCUGGCCAAAAUUACCUGGGCAGUUCUGUCCUCUCCUCUCUGUCAGCUGUCACAAAGGGACCCAUCCCCUCAGGCUUCACUAGACACAUCCCACACUCGGACAGUGAUCAACAGGGGAAGCUUUCAAGCCAGAAAUUCAGUUCCUGAAUUAAAUGAGACAGCUCCGCCCAUGGUUGGUCAAGUGUCUUGGAGAGUGCAACCUGUGCCUUUGUCGGCCUUGUAAACUGCUGGCCUGGCUAUUUAAGCUAAAAAUAAUUCUUUCAUUGAGCAUUUUUCUCCCACAGUUUUCUUUUCAGGACUUGGCACCAAAUAAAGUAGCUUAAG